GAUGAACGCUGGCGGCGUGCCUAAUACAUGCAAGUCGAGCGAACAGAUAAGGAGCUUGCUCCUUUGACGUUAGCGGCGGACGGGUGAGUAACACGUGGAUAACCUACCUAUAAGACUGGGAUAACUUCGGGAAACCGGAGCUAAUACCGGAUAACAUAUUGAACCGCAUGGUUCAAUAGUGAAAGGCGGCUUUGCUGUCACUUAUAGAUGGAUCCGCGCCGUAUUAGCUAGUUGGUAAGGUAACGGCUUACCAAGGCAACGAUACGUAGCCGACCUGAGAGGGUGAUCGGCCACACUGGAACUGAGACACGGUCCAGACUCCUACGGGAGGCAGCAGUAGGGAAUCUUCCGCAAUGGGCGAAAGCCUGACGGAGCAACGCCGCGUGAGUGAUGAAGGUCUUCGGAUCGUAAAACUCUGUUAUCAGGGAAGAACAAAUGUGUAAGUAACUGUGCACAUCUUGACGGUACCUGAUCAGAAAGCCACGGCUAACUACGUGCCAGCAGCCGCGGUAAUACGUAGGUGGCAAGCGUUAUCCGGAAUUAUUGGGCGUAAAGCGCGCGUAGGCGGUUUUUUAGUCUGAUGUGAAAGCCCACGGCUCAACCGUGGAGGGUCAUUGGAAACUGGAAAACUUGAGUGCGGAAGAGGAAAGUGGAAUUCCAUGUGUAGCGGUGAAAUGCGCAGAGAUAUGGAGGAACACCAGUGGCGAAGGCGACUUUCUGGUCUGUAACUGACGCUGAUGUGCGAAAGCGUGGGGAUCAAACAGGAUUAGAUACCCUGGUAGUCCACGCCGUAAACGAUGAGUGCUAAGUGUUAGGGGGUUUCCGCCCCUUAGUGCUGCAGCUAACGCAUUAAGCACUCCGCCUGGGGAGUACGACCGCAAGGUUGAAACUCAAAGGAAUUGACGGGGACCCGCACAAGCGGUGGAGCAUGUGGUUUAAUUCGAAGCAACGCGAAGAACCUUACCAAAUCUUGACAUCCUCUGACCGCUCUAGAGAUAGAGUCUUCCCCUUCGGGGGACAAAGUGACAGGUGGUGCAUGGUUGUCGUCAGCUCGUGUCGUGAGAUGUUGGGUUAAGUCCCGCAACGAGCGCAACCCUUAAGCUUAGUUGCCAUCAUUAAGUUGGGCACUCUAAGUUGACUGCCGGUGACAAACCGGAGGAAGGUGGGGAUGACGUCAAAUCAUCAUGCCCCUUAUGAUUUGGGCUACACACGUGCUACAAUGGACAAUACAAAGGGCAGCUAAACCGCGAGGUCAAGCAAAUCCCAUAAAGUUGUUCUCAGUUCGGAUUGUAGUCUGCAACUCGACUACAUGAAGCUGGAAUCGCUAGUAAUCGUAGAUCAGCAUGCUACGGUGAAUACGUUCCCGGGUCU
rnacentral:rRNA from 1 species